rnacentral:rRNA from 1 species
UACAGCGGGUGCAAGCGUUAAUCGGAUUUACUGGGCGUAAAGCGUGCGUAGGCGGUUCGCUAAGUCGGUUGUGAAAUCCCUGGGCUUAACCUGGGAACUGCAGUCGAUACUGGCGGACUAGAGUACGGUAGAGGGUCGCGGAACUCCGGGUGUAGCGGUGAAAUGCGUAGAUAUCCGGAAGAACACCGAUGGCGAAGGCAACCGCCUGGGCCUGUACUGACGCUGAGGUACGAAAGCGUGGGGAGCAAACAGG